CAUUAUCUAUCAUCAUGCGCUUCAUGUCCACCGUGCCCACUUGCGCUGUGAUUACCAAGGCCCCCUCAUGUGGCUCGAUGGGUUCUGAAGGAUAGUCAGCGUCAGUAAAUGAUAUGACAGUCCCGGGGAAUGGUCUAUCCACCUUCAGGGGAGCAUCUGUCACAGUCAUGAUCGAAUCCAGGUAAGCCCUUCUCUUCCUCCCUAUCAACUUCCCUGCAGAUCCACCGGUUAUCACAUCGAUGACAUGCCUUGGCGGCGGCACUGGGGCCAUUUGAACCGUCUGAACAGUACGGUUAAUAUUCUGCUGAUCACUCACGGCCACAUACUGCACCAACAAGCCAUCCUUAAUCUUCCUCUCCACAAAGUCUUUCAAAUUGCAACACUCGUUAGUGUCGUGGCCAG
rnacentral:lncRNA from 1 species